GGAGUCUAGCAUGUGCGCGAGUCAUUGGGACUUGUUGCUAAACCUAAAGGCGAAAUGAAAGUGAAAGCGCGCCUUGCGCGCGCCUAGGGAGGAUGGGAGACUUCUAUCGAUAAGCUCCUCGCACUCCCGGGGCGUCUCGUUCUCAUUGCGAGAAGAGGCGCACCCAGAGCGUACACGCUGGGACCCGAAAGAUGGUGAACUAUGCCUGGUCAGGACGAAGUCAGGGGAAACCCUGAUGGAGGUCCGUAGCGAUUCUGACGUGCAAAUCGAUCGUCGGAACUGGGUAUAGGGGCGAAAGACUAAUCGAACCAUCUAGUAGCUGGUUCCUUCCGAAGUUUCCCUCAGGAUAGCUGGCGCUCACGCGCAGGGAACAAUUUAACGAGUCUCAUCCGGUAAAGCGAAUGAUUAGAGGCAUUGGGGUCGAAACGGCCUCAACCUAUUCUCAAACUUUAAAUGGGUGAGAUCUCCGGCUUGCUUGAAAAACGUCUUCGGGCGUCUUGAAGCCGCGAGAUCGGAUCAGAGUGCCAAGUGGGCCAUUUUUGGUAAGCAGAACUGGCGCUGUGGGAUGAACCAAACGUGGAGUUAAAGCGCCUCAAUCGACGCUUAUGGGAUACCAUGAAAGGCGUUGGUAACUUAAGACAGCAGGACGGUGGCCAUGGAA
rnacentral:rRNA from 1 species